AAAAACUAGAAUAACCUCUCUAAAAAAUAAUCAUUGCACGAGUUCUCAAAGUUGCCAGCCUAUAAUUAGGUAUGAUUUUUGAUUUCGCUAUCCCCACAAACUCUUCAAGAUGCCCAAUACAGAUCAGACCUUCCAAACUUCCAACUAAUCGGAGAAUUCAAGCAUUCACGAUAAUUAUGAAUUACGGUGAAAAGAAGGAUCUGACCUGACAAACUUCUAGAUAAUCGGAGAAUUCAAGAAAAGGUCAUGGCAAGACAAGUCGUUAAUAAGUGUCAAGUGCAGUGAUGUAAAGAGUUGAUUAGGAGCUAUUAGAUUCAGCUGAACCGCAAUUGAAAUUGUACAUUAGCCCCUUUUAAAGGAUAUCAAUCAUAUUUCCUUUGUUGAGUUGUACUUUUCUCCGCAUAUCUUGUAUGCAGAUUCUUUGAGUUACAUUCUCUUUAUAUACCAUACUAACAUAUUUAACUCAAUUUUAUGCUGAUUUUUUCUUUGCAGUGGACACCACUAGAGUUAAGUGUACCGCCUUGAAUAUGAUAGAC